AAAGAAACCAACUGGGAUUGCCUCAGUAACGGCGAGUGAAGCGGCAUGAGCUCAAAUUUGAAAUCUGGCCCCGUCCGGGGUCCGAGUUGUAAUUUGGAGAGGACACUUCGGGUGCGGCCACGGCGUAAGUCCCCUGGAACAGGGCGUCACAGAGGGUGAGAAUCCCGUCUUGAGCCGCUGGACCGCGCCCAUGCGAAGUUCCUUCGACGAGUCGAGUUGUUUGGGAAUGCAGCUCUAAGUGGGUGGUAAAUUUCAUCUAAAGCUAAAUACUGGCUGGAGACCGAUAGCGCACAAGUAGAGUGAUCGAAAGGUUAAAAGCACCUUGAAAAGGGAGUUAAAUAGCACGUGAAAUUGUUGAAAGGGAAGCGCUGGCAGCCAGACUCGGUCGCGGGAUCCUCCCGCGUUCGGGCCAGCAUCGGUUCUGGCGGUCGGUCAAAGACCCGCGGAAUGUGUCGUCCCCCGGGACGUCUUAUAGCCGCGGGUGCAAUGCGACCAGCCGGGACCGAGGACCGCGCCUCGGCACGGAUGCUGGCGU
rnacentral:rRNA from 1 species